rnacentral:misc_RNA from 1 species
GAUGAAGAACGUAGCGAAAUGCGAUAAGUAAUGUGAAUUGCAGAAUUCAGUGAAUCAUCGAAUCUUUGAACGCACAUUGCGCCCGCUGGUAUUCCGGCGGGCGUGCCUGUUCGAGCGUCAUUUCAACCCUCAAGCUCUCCGGAGUUUGGUGUUGGGGCGCCUGGGGCUUUUCGACCUCAGGACCCUCAAGUCCAUCGGCGGGACCGCCAGGACACUGAGCGCAGUAGUAUUAUUUCGCUCGGUAGGAUCUUCCACGGCGGGUCGAUCUGGCCGCUAAACCCCCCAAUUCUCACCAAAGGUUGACCUCGGAUCAGGUAGGAAUACCCGCUGAACUUAAGCAUAUCAAUAAGCGGAGGA